UACGUAGGGUGCGAGCGUUAAUCGGAAUUACUGGGCGUAAAGCGUGCGCAGGCGGUUUUGUAAGCCAGAUGUGAAAUCCCCGGGCUUAACCUGGGAAUGGCAUUUGGGACUGCAAGGCUCGAGUGCGGCAGAGGAGACUGGAAUUCCUGGUGUAGCAGUGAAAUGCGUAGAUAUCAGGAGGAACACCAAUUGCGAAGGCAGCUCGCUGGGACGUUACUGACGCUGAGACGCGAAAGCGUGGGGAGCAAACAGG
rnacentral:rRNA from 1 species